GAGGAACGCUGGCGGCGUGCCUAAUACAUGCAAGUAGAACGCUGAAGGAAGGAGCUUGCUCUUUCCGGAUGAGUUGCGAACGGGUGAGUAACGCGUAGGUAACCUGCCUGGUAGCGGGGGAUAACUAUUGGAAACGAUAGCUAAUACCGCAUAACAGUAGAUGUUGCAUGAUAUCUACUUAAAAGGUGCAAUUGCACCACUACCAGAUGGACCUGCGUUGUAUUAGCUAGUUGGUGAGGUAACGGCUCACCAAGGCGACGAUACAUAGCCGACCUGAGAGGGUGAUCGGCCACACUGGGACUGAGACACGGCCCAGACUCCUACGGGAGGCAGCAGUAGGGAAUCUUCGGCAAUAGACGGAAGUCUGACCGAGCAACGCCGCGUGAGUGAAGAAGGUUUUCGGAUCGUAAAGCUCUGUUGUAAGAGAAGAACGAGUGUGAGAGUGGAAAGUUCACACUGUGACGGUAUCUUACCAGAAAGGGACGGCUAACUACGUG
rnacentral:rRNA from 1 species